UGUCAAAUGCUCAUUUUACAUUUUCAAGUCAGAAGGUUGUACAUGUUAAAUUUGUCGACGAAUCACAGUUUGCUGCUCUAUUUGCACCUUUCUCUUUCUCUUCUUAUCUUUGUCUAUUAAUCUUUGUAGAUUAAUUCUGUGUGAUAGAUUCUAAUAGUUCAUGUUCUUUUGGUUGAAUUUUUGUGCCUUAUAUCAAUAUGUAUGUUGUGUGUUUACUAAUGGUGGUCCAUAACUUAUGCAAUCAGUGAACCUGUGAUGUUUAGAUCCACUGUGUUCUCUACAUUUAUAUCUGCUCUUACUUUCAAGUACUUUAUAAAUGAUGGUUCUCCUUUGUCGAAAUAAAGAGGUUGAUAACAUGCUUUGUGGAUAUCGUCUCUGCAAUGGUUGAUCCUCAAACAUAUUUGAGUUCACAAUUUGUCCUCAGAGUGGAUACUUUAUUCCAUGAAUUUAUAAUCAUAUUACUGUCGGGAGCGAAUCCAACAUGGAACAUAUUGGCUUAAAUAUCAUGGCUGAAGUGUGGCCUCUUUUGUACUUAUCUAUAUGUAGAUUAGACCAUUUCAAGGUAGAUAUCUGUUUAUUAACCUAACAGAGCAAUUCUUAAUGAAUUCCCCUUGAAGUUUUUGCAGAUACCUUGAUCAAAUGUAGCUCAAGGAAUCGACGAAGCAAUACUUGGCUAAAGCUAAUUUAGCUGGUUCAAGGGUUAUUUACCUGAAGAUGACCUUGACUCUCUUAACUCCUUGCUAUUGAAGAAAUUUUGGGUAUUAUCUUGCUUAGGUGAUGGUGUCAGACAACCUGAGAAGGUUAUGCUCUUCUUGCUCCAUAAUGCUAACGAGUGGAAAUGUAUGUGACAGUAAUAGCAGCAGAACUAUCUCUGACAUCAACAAAGAGUUGUUUAUAUGCCUUUGAAAACGAGCUUGAAACGAUCAAAACGUGUUUUGUAUUAUUAGAUAAUUUAAUUUGUACUUUUUCUAGAAAACCUGAGUUAGUUUCUUUGAUAUGUUCUAAAAGACUGUGCCGCCUUUUUAGUUAUGUGGUAUUAAAAACUUCCAGGAUGUCUUUGAAGAU